GCUCUUGUCUGCGAAUGAUGUUUGGCGAUUUUUUUUUGUUUUUUUUUUUUGUUUCAUUAUCUGUAGCUUUCGGCACAUUAUCUCAACCUUCGUUUCAGAAACCAAGUUGCAUCUGUCUCGAUAAAUUAGACGAUCGGCAAUGGUUGUUUUGCGCUACGAUGCUGCGACGGCAUAACCUAGUUGGUCUGUCGGCAGCAAGUAGCACGGCUGUAUGGGUGACUUGGAUAGCCAUCGUGAAUUUUUCCUCCGCAUGUCAUAUGUAAAGCGUUGACUGUUUUACUCCCGCCAAUGUAGCACUAGAGUGUACUAGAAUGGGCCAAUCUAGUACACUGUAGUAGCACGCACAGAGUUUGCAGAGUACGCAAUACGGUACGCAAGAACGCAUCAGCCAGUCACGCCAAUCCAUGCCAAGCCAAUCGUUCCGCGUGUAAAAGCAUUGGGAAAAGAUAGCGUAAACAUUUCUGUUAUUCCAUUUCUAGCCAGCGUGGCUCAGCUCUGCCAGUCACAAGAGCGGUGCAGCAUUAACAGGAUUUGAUUACCACAGAACUAGAGCAAGCGCGUCAUGACUGUGAGACGGAGAUCUUCCAUGAAUCGGUAGCAGCUCAGCGACAGCGGCAUCUCCGAGGGCGCAGCGUCAAGGGCAAUGUCGUGGCGAAGGUUUAUGCCGGGACGCGCGGCGCUGAUCACCACUGGCUGGAUGACGUUCAUCUACUGGGGCUGGCUCAAGAUCGCCCGGAACGACAUGUUCGUGCCUGUCGACGAGAGGCAGCCUGUGCCGCACGAGCUGCUGAUCAGCUUCCUUUCUAGGCGAUGGAACAGCUCCGAAUCAUCAACGCCGAGCGGCGACAAUGACAAUAAAGAAAGGAAGGAGGCGUG